AAUUGUGUGAGGCAAAUUAUUGGAAAUGACUAUUAGUUUUGGAGAAUUCUAAAGAUUGGAUAGAGAAUAUUUUAUAUAGCCUUUUAAGAUAGUACAGUAUUACCUAUUGUUGUCAUAAGUUAGGAGAGGAGAAGAGAUAGUGAAUGUUUAAUAUAGAAUUAGAAAUUUUAAUAUUUUAUUUGAUAGAAUGUAGGAGGCAUUGUAGCUUUCUUGGUUGUUUUAGUUGAUUAGGAGAUAAGUAAAUGUAUGAUCCUAAUGUAAAAAUUCAUACAGAUAGUCUUUUUCUAUAUUCAAAUCUUUCUAUAUAGAUUUAUUCUGAUUAGAUUAGUCUA
rnacentral:lncRNA from 1 species